GACGAACGCUGGCGACGUGCUUAACACAUGCAAGUCGAACGGAAAGGCCCCUUUGGGGGUACUCGAGUGGCGCACGGGUGCGUAACACGUGAGUAACCUGCCCUUGACUUCGGGAUAACUUCAGGAAACUGGGGCUAAUACCGGAUAGGAAUCCUUGCUGCAUGGUGGGGGUUGGAAAGCUUCGGCGGUUUUGGAUGGACUCGCGGCUUAUCAGCUUGUUGGUGGGGUAGUGGCUUACCAAGGCUUUGACGGGUAGCCGGCCUGAGAGGGCGACCGGCCACAUUGGGACUGAGAGACGGCCCAGACUCCUACGGGAGGCAGCAGUGGGGAAUAUUGCACAAUGGGCGGAAGCCGGAUGCAGCAACGCCGCGUGCGGGAUGACGGCCUUCGGGUUGUAAACCGCUUUCAGCAGGGGCGAAGCUUGUGGUGACGGUACCUGCAGAAGAAGCACCGGCUAACUACGUG
rnacentral:rRNA from 1 species